rnacentral:rRNA from 1 species
UACGGAGGGGGCUAGCGUUGUUCGGAAUUACUGGGCGUAAAGGGCGCGUAGGCGGCUUUGUAAGUGAGAGGUGAAAGCCCGGGGCUCAACCCCGGAACUGCCUUUAAGACUGCAUCGCUUGAAUCCAGGAGAGGUGAGUGGAAUUCCGAGUGUAGAGGUGAAAUUCGUAGAUAUUAGGAAGAACACCAGUGGCGAAGGGGACUCACUGGUCCGGUACUGACGCUGAGGUGCGAAAGCGUGGGGAGCAAACAGG